rnacentral:rRNA from 1 species
UGGCGGACGGGUGAGUAACGCGUAAAGAACUUGCCCUUUAGACUGGGAUAACAGAGGGAAACUUCUGAUAAUACUGGAUAAGUUAGUAUAUCGCAUGAUAUGCAAAUGAAAGCUACGGCACUAAAGGAGAGCUUUGCGUCCUAUUAGCUAGUUGGUAAGGUAAGAGCUUACCAAGGCGAUGAUAGGUAGCCGGCCUGAGAGGGUGGACGGCCACAAGGGGACUGAGAUACGGCCCUUACUCCUACGGGAGGCAGCAGCG